UGUGUGUGUGUGUGUGUGUUUGUUCAUGGGUAUUUUUGGCUAACACUUUACAUUUAUUCCUGCUUUUAAUCAUGAUGUGAGAGAAAACAAAUUAUAGUGGGAUUUUAAUUUAUCAUGAGAAAUUCGAUACAUCAGAAGAUUUGAGAUUUUUAAGUUACAGUUAUUUUCCUCUCAAAUCAACACAUGUCCUGCAAUAUUAGAGUGUGUUUAUGUCAGAAAUGAAAGGACCGAUUGAAGGGGUACUUGGGUGAUUAUCAGACGAAAAACUUCCUGCCAAAGAAAGCUAUGUUCUUGACAACUUUUGAAUGUUUCAACACAGGAUUCUGGCAUAUGAAAGACUAAGAGUCUAGUGGUGGCAGUAUUGACCAAUACAAGAUCAAAAUAGUGGUCAUAAUAGUGCUUGAAAGUCGCCAAGACUUUCCAGCAUGAUCAUGAUAAUCUUCAAACCACAGGACAAACAGUUUUUUUUCCCCCUGCUUUGGCAAUAGCUUUAAGUUUUCCCUUUUAUAGAGGACCAAAACCCUAAAGGGGUUGCCAUCAAGAAUGAUUAAUAGUGACAAACAAUCGAGGACAGCAUUUUAGCUUUUUAUAUACCAACUAAUGUAGAGAUCAUAAUUUAAAGGCAGCAGAUCGGUGUGCUACAGAAGCACAAAAAUUGGCCAAUAACGUAAUUACCUCCCUGCAUGUUUGAUUGCCAUUGACAAUGUUUUCUACCUUGAACCUUUAAACCAAAGAAAAGAGCACCCACAGAAAAUCAGUUUCUCAACUAGAGAUUCUUCCUCAAUCGAUAGCAAGCAAAUAUUAAGGAAGCAAAGCAGGAUCAAGUUCCCAACAGUCUUUCAAAAGAGCAGGGACCUCAUCUCCAGAAAGCUUCCUUGCAGGAACCUGAUGUGAAAGCAGCCGAACAUCAUCUUUUUCAAGCCAUCUAAUAGCAUGACAUCCAACUUCCCGUCUCUUAAAUACAGUAUUGAAUCCGUCAACUUUCUCAAGGUAUGCCAUGCUCAAUCCAUGCAUCUCACUGUAAGUGGUUAAAAACACAACCAUUUCAUAACAUUGCUUAUCUCUAGCACAUGGAUUUCUUUCUUCCAUGCACAAAUCAACUUCAUUAUAAAGUGCCCAUACUGAACCCUUUUUUGGAUAAAUCCUAUAAACUUCUCUAGCUGCCCUUUCACAAUCAACAAUGUGUGAAAAGAUAUUCAGGGAGUUGAUGGUUGUCUUCCUAGAAACUUUAAAUCUCCCACAAGAUACAUGAAAUCCCAUUUUCUCCCAACAAAUCAAUCUUUCAUCCCCAUAAUACUGAAGUUCCAACCAACUUAACUCCACCUCAAAAGGAUUCACAGAAACAACUUCAUCAAUCAAGCCAUAGUGCCUUGGCAUUCUGUCAUCAUCAUAUAUAGCCCACACUUGCCCUUUCUUAAAACUCCUCUCCACUCUAUCUCUGUCAAAGUCAUAGAAAUCAGAAUCCUCCACAGCCAUUAUCUCCAAAUCUCCACUUCUCAAACCCCUAUGGCGCUCAAUUUCCAAAUUUACACUCUUCCUUGAUGCAGCACGCCUCUUAAUUCCCAAAUCCUUACUCUCAUCCAACAUGCCUCCUUCAAGAUCCAUCUCCCCACUCUUCUUUGAAGCUCCACUUUUCUUAAUCUUUAUAUCUCCAAGCUUCUUCAAGAGCUCAAGUUUUUCCUUCUCUUUUUGACUUCUCUUCUUCACUGCAUCCUUCUGCUUCUCCCUCUCCUUCAAUUUUGCCUUCUCUUUAAAAGCUUUCUGCUUUGCUUCUAACUGCAUCUCUGCUAGUGUCAUCAUAUCCGCUCCAACUUUCACUCUCUUUGGCUUUGAUCUCUCCAAGACUUCAUCAACAGUACUCAUUUUCCUCCUCAAACCUACAGUCCUCAAUCUCCCACCACUCCAUUCCCCAGAACCACGCUCAUUCACCUUCAAGUUAGCGCUCCUCCCUGUCUGACCCUCCACUUGACCAACACCUGCUUUACUCCUCAAACCCAUAGUACCCACCUUGUCACCGAUCCCAAUAUUUCCUGCUGACCUCAACUCAUCAAUCCUUCCACCACCUCUUGAUUUUACCCUGGAAUCAACGUUACCCAUUUUUUGCUUCGAACCCAAGUCCCUGAAUACUUCAGCAACCACCACUUUUCUCCUCAACCUCUCACUCCUAACUCUAACGCCAGCCCCAAUCCCAUUGCCCUCCUUAUCCCCUUCUUCCACCUCCACAGCCUCAAAACUUUUCUUACAACUAGGACACACCAAAUUGUGCCCCAAAUACCUUCUCUCAAACUGAUGCAAAAGCCUACACCUAGAACACGCAGUCCAAAAUGUCUCCACCACAGUGUUGUCAUUAACCCUCUCCUCCUGAAGCUUAAUUCUCAACCUCAUAUCAUAUUCUUUCCUCCUAAUCUUGUCAGACAAAACCCUAAACCCUUCACCCACAAGCUUAAAUGCCUCUUCACAUCCUAUAUAUGGAUUUUUAUCAGGGUGCAAGAUUAAAGCCAACUUCUUGUAUUGCUUUUUAAUUGUGUUUAUGUGAGAAAAGGGCUCUACCUGGAGAAUCUUGUACCAGUCAGUGAUAUCAGAGUGGGUCUUGGAGACCACCCGGAGGAUCUUUAAGGCUGUAAGAAUUGAUGACAGACCAUCCAGGUUUGGACAAAGACAAUGAGCUUUCUUGGCGUGUUUGAGAGCUGAUUUGAUGUUGUCGCUGGUGUACUUCGUUUCUGCUAUGGCUUUGAGACGGAGGGCUUCUUGCUUUUGGUCCAGUUCCACGUCCAUGGUUCCAAACAGAGAAUGAGAAAGGAUGCUACCAUACAACGGAGAUAAAUGAAGGGGGAA
rnacentral:misc_RNA from 1 species